UAAUAGUUGAUGUAGACCCUGAGAA
rnacentral:piRNA from 1 species